UUGUUUUUUUCUUUUUCAAAAUCUUUAAUUUAGAUAUUUAAUUGAGUGAGAAUAGGGUAAUGUUUAUCUUCUCCAAAGAGUCAAAUUAUAUUGACAGAUUUUGGCCUAGAAUUGCCAUAUGGCAGUGUUUCUCUAUCUUGGUCCGGAGGGAACCCUGAUCUGGACCAGUGGGGCUUCCCCUUACCCAACACACCUGAUCCAACCUACCUACCUACCUACCUACCUACCUAGCCUAGCUUAGCCUAGUUUAGCCUAGCUAGUUAACUAGCUAACAGUUCAUGUGCUGUCAGCGUCUCCUACAACUGUACAGGUUCCUGUGUCUGUGAGGCUGGAUUGCAGUGGAAUAAAAAUGGACUGACAGUUAUUAAAUUCGUGAUUCACUACGCAGACAUGCACUGUGUGGCGGGAGAGAAGCAGAAAGGUGACGGUAUAUACAUUUUGCAGAGGGUUCAAGGAGGCAACAUCUAAUAUUGAGAAAUAUCUUGGACCAGCCUUGUGAGAAAAGAAUGUAGAUGGCUUUAAAAAUGCUGGACCAGACUAACCUACAGGACAACACUACAACCUGAGAGGAAAGGAGGAUUUCUGGGCUGGUGCAGAAGCCGAAGUGUGGUAGGAGCGAGACGUGCCAUGGGAGCUACUCUGGGUGCUGAGGACAGUGUUUGGAGGGAAAGGAUGU